UAUUGGACAAUGGGCGAAAGCCUGAUCCAGCAAUGCCGCGUGAGUGAUGAAGGCCUUAGGGUUGUAAAGCUCCUUUACCCGGGAUGAUAAUGACAGUACCGGGAGAAUAAGCUCCGGCUAACUCCGUGCCAGCAGCCGCGGUAAUACGGAGGGAGCUAGCGUUGUUCGGAAUUACUGGGCGUAAAGCGCACGUAGGCGGCUUUGUAAGUUAGAGGUGAAAGCCUGGAGCUCAACUCCAGAAUUGCCUUUGAUACUGCAUCGCUUGAAUCCAGGAGAGGUGAGUGGAAUUCCGAGUGUAGAGGUGAAAUUCGUAGAUAUUCGGAAGAACACCAGUGGCGAAGGCGGCUCACCGGACUGGUAUUGACGCUGAGGUGCGAA
rnacentral:rRNA from 1 species